rnacentral:rRNA from 1 species
CAAGACCGCGUGAGGGAGGAAGGCCUGUGGGUUGUAAACCUCUUUUGAUAGGGAAGAAGCUCUGACGGUACCUAUCGAAUAAGCAUCGGCUAACUCCGUGCCAGCAGCCGCGGUAAUACGGAGGAUGCAAGCGUUAUCCGGAAUUAUUGGGCGUAAAGCGUCCGUAGAUGGUUUUUCAAGUCUGCUGUCAAAGCGCGGAGCUUAACUCCGUAAGGGCGGUGGAAACUGAAAGACUAGAGUUUGGUAGGGGUAGAGGGAAUUCCCAGUGUAGCGGUGAAAUGCGUAGAUAUUGGGAAGAACACCGGUGGCGAAAGCGCUCUACUGGGCCUGAACUGACACUGAGGGACGAAAGCUAGGGGAGCGAAAGGGAUUAGAUACCCCUGUA